rnacentral:ribozyme from 1 species
CCUAAAUAACGGAUGCUCUGCAAUGGGAUCCGAAGCCCUCCGAGGGAUAAUAUAGGCUCUCCCAUCCAACUCCUAUUCUGACAAGUCCUCGUCGUACAGAGUGGUAACAUGUGUCUCCAUAUAUCCUAGCUUGGGUACACGGGCUAGAUCCAACCCCUUGGGCGGAUGGUGGCA